AGGUUCUACUCUGGGAGACAAAGGGAUCUGGCAGCCUUUCAGAUGUACCAAUAUAAACACAACCCCAAGCACUUUUGAAUAGCCCGGUCAUGAGUAAGCCAGAGAGAUGGUUGUUAAAUAUUUACUACCACAGCACUGCUCCAAGAACAACCUUAUCUGUUGCUACAUCUGACUGUCUCUUGUGCAGAGAGGGAAGCCAAGGCUUGGAACAAGAGAAAGCCGAGCUUACCUUGAGCAGCCCAGCACCAGACUGAAAAGCCCCUGAAGAAUGGAGAUGAUGGUUUAUGCAUCUUGUCAUCUUAACAUGCAGUGUAGUGUCUUGCAUACAAUGAUGAAACUGAGGCCCAGAGAACUUCAAUGACUUUCACAAGAUUAUAAAGAUAGUCAAGAUUUGAACUACUGGGAUUCUAGGAUUUGAACCCAGAUCCUUUGGCUCCAGAUUCAACACUCUUUUCUGUACCAGACUGAUUAUAGGGCUCCCCUGAAGAAAAUGGGGAAGACUUGAAAAGAUUUAAGUUGGAGGACUCCGUGUGCUCAAAAUACCAGCUCAAGACUUCAUUGGAGAAUAGGGCAUCACUGAAGAUUUUGGAAUCUGUGAGUGAUACCACAACAUCUGUGCCUUAAAGAUUAUGAAUUGGGCAGCUGUUUGGAGGAUGGAGUGAAAAGAGGGAGUAUGAGUAGAUUACUGCAACAGCCCAGGACUGAGGCUGCUUAAAUGACUCAAGGAAUCAGGAAAAGCUAUGUCUAUGGGGUGUACCUGAGAUGAUCUUUGCUGAGAGCCAGGGCUUCCAAAGGAUGGAGGAAAUCCCCCUCACCUUAAGAGUCUAUGGGUGAAACAUGAAUAAGCCUAGCUGAAAAGAGGUCCAGUAUCACCAAUGGGCAUAGCAUCCAAGAGGUUGAGUGAAAGAUCUGACUCUUCCAGACCUGCAAAUUCUUCCCAGUCCAGUUUCAGUGACACCUCUUCCUGGAAGUCUCCUCUGACUACUUUGCAGAGUGGCUAACGUGAAGAGGAAGAAUUUGCUGUAUUUCAUCUGCAUGUAGACCAGUUGACUAGUGUGAGGAGACAGGAAGGAGUUUGCAGAAGUCAUCACCUGCUGGGUGUUUGCAGAGGGACCAGGGGCUAAGUAUGAUCUCAUUCAAGGCCAUUGUCCUGGGACAAGCACUGUCAAUACCUCUAUCUCACUGCUGCAUUCCGCUGCUGUUGGGCAAAGCGAAAGACAAGAAGAGAAUGAACUCUCCGUGGGAGUAUACUCUUCACAAGGGAUGUGGCCAUGGAGCUUUUGCAGACCUGUGUGUGCCCAGAUGUCCCCAGGCUUCUGGAGCUUUUGACCUGGAAAGAUGUCACAUGACUAACACAGCUCCCACUAAGAGAGGCUGUCUUUGCUUCAUCAGAAGGAACAAGUAAAUGAAUAAAGAUGCAUGUGGAUUUUCUGAAACAGCUCAAGCAAGGAACUCGGCAUGUAACCUCAAUCAAUUUACUGUUGUUGGGUCAAAGCAUUGCUACCAUCUGGGCAUCCAGUAAGUAGUUCAGGCAUCAAAUGCAUUGACUCACUGUCCUAUCACAGGAAUUUUACAAAGAUUUGUCAUCCACUCUUCACAAUCAAGAACUCAGUCUUCUGGCAAAAGUUGCUGGGAAACCAAAAAAUUAUUUUAUAGAGUUAGAAAAAAUAAUAACAAGAUUCAUUUGGAAAAACAAAAG